GCCAGUGGGGUACAGAGGUUUGAAUGGUAGACUAGGACUCUAGAGACCAGGGUUCAAAUCCCCUCUCAGCUG